rnacentral:rRNA from 1 species
CCCGCUGAACUUAAGCAUAUCAAUAAGCGGAGGAAAAGAAACUAACAAGGAUUCCCCUAGUAACGGCGAGUGAAGCGGGAAGAGCUCAAAUUUAAAAUCUGGCGCAAGCCCGAGUUGUAGUCUAGAGAGGUGUUUUCUGUGCUGGACCGUGUACAAGUCCCUUGGAACAGGGCGUCAUAGAGGGUGAGAAUCCCGUCCAUGACACGGACUCCCAGUGCUCUGUGAUACACCUUCAAAGAGUCGAGUUGUUUGGGAAUGCAGCUCAAAAUGGGUGGUAAAUUCCAUCUAAAGCUAAAUACAGGCGAGAGACCGAUAGCGAACAAGUACCGUGAGGGAAAGAUGAAAAGCACUUUGGAAAGAGAGUUAAACAGUACGUGAAAUUGUUGAAAGGGAAACGCUUGGAGUCAGUCGCGUCGUCUGGGACUCAGCCUUGCUUUUGCUUGGUGCAUUUCUCAGUUGAUGGGCCAGCAUCGAUUUUGGUCGCUGGAUAAAGGUCUCGAGAAGGUGGCACCUUCGGGUGUGUUAUAGCUCUUGAUUGUAUACAGUGGCUGGGAUCGAGGACCGCAGCAUGAUUCGGGGUUUACUCACGUCCCAUGCUUAGGAUGCUGGCGUAAUGGCUUUAAGCGACCCGUCUUGAAACACGG